GACGAACGCUGGCGGCGUGCUUAACACAUGCAAGUCGAACGGUAAGGCCCUUCGGGGUACACGAGUGGCGAACGGGUGAGUAACACGUGGGUGAUCUGCCCUGCACUUCGGGAUAAGCCUGGGAAACUGGGUCUAAUACCGGAUAGGACCACUGCCUGCAUGGGUGGUGGUGGAAAGCUUUUGCGGUGUGGGAUGGGCCCGCGGCCUAUCAGCUUGUGGGUGGGGUGAUGGCCUACCAAGGCGACGACGGGGAGCCGGCCUGAGAGGGUGACCGGCCACACUGGGACUGAGAUACGGCCCAAACUCAUACGGGAGGCAGCAGUGGGGAAGAUUGCACAAUGGGCGCAAGCCUGAUGCAGCGACGCCGCGUGAGGGAUGACGGCCUUCGGGUUGUAAACCUCUUUCAGCACCGACGAAGCGCAAGUGACGGUAGGUGCAGAAGAAGGACCGGCCAACUACGUGCCAGCCGCCGCCGUAA
rnacentral:rRNA from 1 species